rnacentral:rRNA from 1 species
CAUGCAAGUCGAGGGGCAGCAUGAUUGAAGCUUGCUUCAGUUGAUGGCGACCGGCGCACGGGUGAGUAACGCGUAUCCAACCUUCCGUACACUCAGGGAUAGCCUUUCGAAAGAAAGAUUAAUACCUGAUGGUAUGAUGAGAUUGCAUGAUAGCAUCAUUAAAGAUUUAUCGGUGUACGAUGGGGAUGCGUUCCAUUAGGUAGUAGGCGGGGUAAUGGCCCACCUAGCCGACGAUGGAUAGGGGUUCUGAGAGGAAGGUCCCCCACAUUGGAACUGAGACACGGUCCAAACUCCUACGGGAGGCAGCAGUGAGGAAUAUUGGUCAAUGGACGAGAGUCUGAACCAGCCAAGUAGCGUGAAGGAUGAAGGUCCUACGGAUUGUAAACUUCUUUUAUAAGGGAAUAAAACCUCCCACGUGUGGGAGCUUGUAUGUACCUUAUGAAUAAGCAUCGGCUAACUCCGUGCCAGCAGCCGCGGUAAUACGGAGGAUGCGAGCGUUAUCCGGAUUUAUUGGGUUUAAAGGGAGCGCAGACGGGUCGUUAAGUCAGCUGUGAAAGUUUGGGGCUCAACCUUAAAAUUGCAGUUGAUACUGGCGUCCUUGAGUGCGGUUGAGGUGUGCGGAAUUCGUGGUGUAGCGGUGAAAUGCUUAGAUAUCACGAAGAACUCCGAUUGCGAAGGCAGCACACUAAGCCGUAACUGACGUUCAUGCUCGAAAGUGUGGGUAUCAAACAGGAUUAGAUACCCUGGUAGUCCACACGGUAAACGAUGGAUACUCGCUGUUGGCGAUAUACAGUCAGCGGCUUAGCGAAAGCGUUAAGUAUCCCACCUGGGGAGUACGCCGGCAACGGUGAAACUCAAAGGAAUUGACGGGGGCCCGCACAAGCGGAGGAACAUGUGGUUUAAUUCGAUGAUACGCGAGGAACCUU